CUUAUGGUUUUGCUGCAGUAUAGACUCGGCAUCUAUUCGUCUUGGUACAAACUAAUGUUCUAAUAAGUGUCCAUCUUGGUUCUGGUGAAUUGAUUUGGGGAACUCUUGAAAUCUGUUUCUUGUAUAUUGGCCAUGAUAACUCUUCACCUGACAUUCUGCAAUGGCUUCCAGCCAGGUUUUUCUUGUUGCUGCUAUUCCUUGUGGAUAUUCAAGAGGCAACUUGGCACCUAAUGUCAACAACAUGCUUAUCGGUGACGAGUGAAAUGAAAGAAGGCUGCAAUGGAAUUUGUACUAGGUAUGUUUCUCCCUCUCCUCAACUCUCUCAAUCUUCAUCCCAAUUCCCGCCUAUAGUGAUUGAUAUGGGUCUGUAGCUAGGUUCAAAUAUUUUCUUCCUUUCAUUAAGCAACUUCCCUCGAAAAAUAAUGUUUCAUCGUUGUGCCUCUUACAGACUACAGUACCUAUUAUAGACUACAGACCACAGCUUACCUGUAACUCCAAGUCCCAUCACAAUGUUGGUGGAAUCUGAAAGACAUAAAGCAUAUGCACCAGUAGACCAAAAAAUCCUCUCUGUUAUAAAAUAAAAGAAUUAACAACUUAUAGUACGUAGAAAAUAGUGGUAUUAGUUGAAACACCAUUGUAAAGAGCAAUUUCAGUUCAUUGAAGAUUCUGUCCCCUGUGGUAGGCUUUCUUUGCAAAUUCUUUAGCUUAAUUGAUGUGUACUCAUUGUAAUUUUCAGUAGCAAGUGCAUCACAUAUUUGGUUAAUGCAUUGUUUUUUAUUUUCCAUCCAUAAUGAUAUUUGAAGACAAGGAAUUAGUAUGUUAUGCUUUUGGGGGUUCAAACACUUGGAUGAGA